GGGGUUAGUUUCAGUACGUAGGUGCCACGGAUGGCGAAUCGUGUAUGUUGCUGGUGCUGUCUAUCUUUAGAAUCUUUUAUGGUAGCAGUAUCUUUGGAAGAUUUCUGUCUCC
rfam:Glossina pallidipes unplaced genomic scaffold Scaffold12, whole genome shotgun sequence.